rnacentral:rRNA from 1 species
CGGAUGACGGGAGCUUGCUCCCUUGAUUCAGCGGCGGACGGGUGAGUAAUGCCUAGGAAUCUGCCUGGUAGUGGGGGACAACGUUUCGAAAGGAACGCUAAUACCGCAUACGUCCUACGGGAGAAAGCAGGGGACCUUCGGGCCUUGCGCUAUCAGAUGAGCCUAGGUCGGAUUAGCUAGUUGGUGGGGUAAUGGCUCACCAAGGCGACGAUCCGUAACUGGUCUGAGAGGAUGAUCAGUCACACUGGAACUGAGACACGGUCCAGACUCCUACGGGAGGCAGCAGUGGGGAAUAUUGGACAAUGGGCGAAAGCCUGA